CCAGACUCCUACGGGAGGCAGCAGUGAGGAAUAUUGGUCAAUGGGCGGGAGCCUGAACCAGCCAAGUCGCGUGAGGGAAGACGGUCCUACGGAUUGUAAACCUCUUUUGCCGGGGAGCAACGGGGUCCUUGCGAGGGCCCGAUGAGAGUACCCGGAGAAAAAGCAUCGGCUAACUCCGUGCCAGCAGCCGCGGUAAUACGUAGGGGGCAAGCGUUAUCCGGAAUUAUUGGGCGUAAAGAGUACGUAGGUGGUUUUGUAAGCGCGGGGUGAAAGGCAGUGGCUUAACCAUUGUAAGCCUUGCGAACUGCAAGACUUGAGUGCAGGAGAGGAAAGCGGAAUUCCUAGUGUAGCGGUGAAAUGCUUAGAUAUUAGGAGGAACACCAGUGGCGAAGGCGGCUUUCUGGACUGUAACUGACACUGAGGUACGAAAGCGUGGGGAGCAAACAGGAUUAGAUACCCGCGUAC
rnacentral:rRNA from 1 species